UAACUGUUCGUCAUACGACACUGUUCCAGGGGAGACAUGAACAAACAUCUACUCACCCCAGAGAAGGAGCUGACAACAGACCAAAGGAUGGACACCACCAAAGUCCAACUUGGUGAACCAAUGGGUUUUAUGGGGUUUGCUUUUAGGAAUACGGGAGUCACAGGAGCAGAAAUGACUCAAAGACAGCUGUAUCACCAAAGUCCACCCAAGGAUGGGUGAGCUCACAAAGCUGGAAUCCUGGAGCACACUGCAUGAUUCGAUGUUUCAAUCUGGGAAGAAACUGCCACACAACAACAUUCCUUCAGGAUUAAAAGGAUGGGGCCAGGGAACCUAGGGAUGAGAAAUGAGACGCUGUGUCUGGGUGUGAUAGCCAAGGCCAGUGAUGGAAGCCCAUGAGGAACAUGUGUGAGUACCCGAGCCACCUGCAAAGAUGGAGGUCAGCAGCAUGGGUACGGUGACUCACAGACACAAGGUCGUCUGCUAACAAAACACAGAGAUGAACAGAGCGGGGCUUCAAUGCCUUACCUGGUGGGCAGUGCAUGAACAGCACUUGAUCAGCUUCCUGGUGGCGCCCGUGAGACACAGAAUAUGUGAGCCCUCCACUGGCUUGUCCCAUGAUAGCCCAAGAAGAUACUGUCUUCAUCCUUUCUGUGUACAGUGAGGAACGGGUGGAACAGGGCCUAAAAUGUACCAGGCAAGGCUUCUCCUGAUAAGCCACAACCCAAACCUUCAUUGAGGAGCCUAGGCAGGUGCUCUACCACUGAGCCACACCCCAGCCCCUCACUGGGGGAUUCAAGAAACAGAAAGCUGGACCAUGCCGGAUGCUGGCAGCCCUGCAGGGUGACGGCUUGUUCCAGGAGGUGAGGAGCACUUAGGACGAGGGAUUGGGGGGAACAGUUGGUGAAUUCUAUUCAAAGUAACAACACUCAUGUCCAGUGGGUUGAGACACAUCUCAGGAUUGGCUCAGGAGGAAGAGACACACUGUUGGGAGUGGAAGCCUUUGAAUGGUGUGCUCUUUGCCAAAUGGCCAGAGUGACAGGACACGGCACAGCCUUAAAUGCAAAGCAUCACCCACAAAAUGGACACAUGUGUAUGUGCCGAUGGACAUGAAAUGACAUCAAUCAAUGCCUUAAUUAAAAUCAAUGAUUAUUUUAUUACCAUCUAUUAAUUAACAAAAAGGAAAAUUACCCAGGAUUUGAUGUACAUAAAUAAUUGUACUUAUGUUUUCAACUUCCACACAUGGAUGGUAAUUUGAAAUGUUGAUUUUUCUAAAGAGAUUUGCACCCCUCCUGUUGGCUAUAUUGAUAUUGGGGAAGGUGGGGCCCUUGAUAGUGACAGAAUCUUUAUUGUUUCACAUGGGCAAUAAAUGCUCAGGGAGGUAGAAAAGCAGCCACCACCAAAGCCACAUUUGACCCAUGUCUUUACCUCAUGAACUGGAAAAAUGAACUUCAGGACCACAGAUAGGGAGGGUGAGUGCUGAGUUUACUAAGGUGAAGAGACAAGAAGCAAGCCGAGCUCCUCCUGUACUGCAGGAGUGAGUCCCAAAUAUGAGGGUUCCUGUGAUGACAGUUAACCUUGAGUGUCAGUUGACACAAUAUACAAUCACCUGGGCAGAGUCCUCAUGAGGGAUUGUCUACCUUGGGUUUGGCCCGUUGGUUUGUACGUGGGGAUUUUCUUUGAAUUGAGUUUUAAUUGAUGCAGGAAGACCCAGCCCACUAUGGGUGGUGCCAGUCCUUAGGCAGGGGAUCCUGAACUCUAGUGGAGAAACUGAACUGAGUGUGAGCACACAAGAGAGCAUGCACGCAUUUCUCUCUGCUCCUGACUGUGGCUGUGACACUGCAAGCUGUGUGAAGUUCCUGCCUUGACUUCCCCACUGUGAUGGACUGGAACCUGGAACUGUGAGCGCAAACAAACCCUUCCUCCCCUAAGCUGCUUUAUUUUGGCCAGGGUGUUAUACCACAGCCGCAGGAAAAAAAAACAAACAAACAAGUCCCCAUCUAGGAGUUAGUAAAGCUUUACUGGAGAGAGGCAGGAGCAUGGGAGGGGUGAGUGGGUCAGUCCGGUUGUCCCAGUCCUGGGGUGUUCACUCAGCUGGGUUUUAGUCAUAGCCCCCUGUAACACUUCCAGACUCUGGUGCUCAUUUUAGGAUGUGUAAGAAGACAGAAAACGCAAUAGGAGCCAGAAUGCUAAACACCUCUGGCAUCACUAGCCUCUGUGCAGGAAAGAGCCACAGAACAUUUCCAGUUUCUGGCCAUAGUCAAGGGCUGGCUUCAAGACUGUCUUGUUUUUGAGGAUCCCCUUUCCCUAAAACUGCCUGACCACUUUCUAUCUCUCAUGACUAUUACGCUACUGAAACCAUAGGCCUAAGAAAUUGGAGUUUCCCCAGAAAUCUUACUUUGGGAAUAAGAGGAAAAAGGAUGAAGGCUGGUGUUAGCCGGACAGGAAUUUGUCUCCCAGGAGAAGAGUCCACAUGGUUCUGACAACUUGUUAGCUCACCUUGUAGGAGAUGCUGAAGGUAAGACAGUGAUGGGCUAGUGAUUGACAGGACCAUACCUUGAUGGGAACUGCUUAGAUAUAAAUCCUUCUUGCCUCACAUCAGGACCCCAAAGACAGCCUUGAGGGAUUUUUUUUGGGCGGGGGGGAAUCAUCAGACUUAUAUUUGUGACAAUGUGGCUACAUUGAAUACAUCUCCAUUUUUUAAAUUUUCCUUAUUGUCUCUGUAAGUUGCCUAUUGAAGCCAUAUGGUUGAGUCUAGACUGUUGGACUUGGGCUCUAACAUCUCUGGUAAGGACAGAUAUUUUCUUCCAUCACACACAGGUAUGUAAUGCUGCCUCCAGCUGUUUCUUCUUCCUUUGUUCUCACUGAAGGGAUAGACAGUGCCCCCUCAGACCCUGUCCCAAGUGUGGCCACAGCCACCCCAUGACUGGAACAACAUAGCCAACUUCCCUGAAAUAAUCAACUCAUAAGGAGCAAAUGCUGACUCACAUCUGCUUCGAAUCACACACAUGGCAGGAAGAGGUCUGUGUCCUUCAUGGCCAUCAGGGAGUUAAAGCCAGGGAGGAGCUGGGAUGCUAAUAUCCCCUUCAAGGGUAUACUUCCAAAGACCUAAAUGCCCCCGCUAAGCCCCACCUCUUCAAAGUUCUACCCACUGCUCACAAGCUUCCACACAACCUCUGCGGAAUGCUCUAGUCCUGGCUCUCACCCCUUCUCCUGUGUGGCCCCUAUACCGAAUUCCUGUCUAUUCCAGUUUUCUUUCCUUAUUGUGAUCAAAUACCCUGACAACAAGCAACUUAUGGAUGAAAGGUUUUAUUUUAGCUCAGGAUUCCAGGUUACAGUCCAUCUCUGAGGGGAAGUCACAACAGGAGCUUGAGACAGCUGGUCAGUCACAUUACAUCUGCGGUCAAGAGCGAGAGAAAUGCAUGCAUACAUGCAUGCGUGCUCACCUGCUUGCUUGUGCCCAUUUCCAUUUCUCUAUUCUCAUACAGUUCAGACCUCCUGCCUACAGGUUGGUGCCGCCUAUAGUGGGCUGGGUCUUUUCACAUCAAUAAUUUUAAGACUAUCCUCCGUAGACAUCUUCUCGGACCAACCUAAUGUAGACAAUCCCUACUCAAGAAUCCCUUUCCAAGUGGUUCUAGGUCAUGCCAAGUUGAUUGUUAAAGCUAACCUCCUCACACUGACUUGGUUCUCACCUUUCUCUCUUACAGCUUCUUUUAUUGCAUUUAUCACUGUUAACACAUCUUUGCAUCAUUAGCAUCCGACUCUCCGGAGACCUCAUGCUCUAGUGAGCCAGACACCAAGUCUUUUUGCAUUGACGUCAGAUCUACAGCACCCAGCAUAGCACCUGGCGGGGAGUGGUGUUCGAUAAAUAUCAAUACUGUUAACUAAUAUUAAUGAAAGUGCUAAAUGGCUUCCAACACACCUGUGGGGGGAUGCAUCAAUACUCUCUAAAUGGAUGCAAAAAUCAUCCUGAUGGCUUCCCCUCUUCUGAGCAGAGGCAGGUUUCAGAUAGAAACACAUGUGGAAAAUAAGCUAUCACCAGAUGUCUUUGAGGGACUGUGUGUGUGUAUGCAUGUGCAUAUAUAUGUGUGUUUCUC